UGGGGGAUAUUGCACAAUGGGGGAAACCCUGAUGCAGCGACGCCGCGUGAAGGAAGACGUACUUCGGUAUGUAAACUUCUAUCAGCAGGGAAGAAAAUGACGGUACCUGACUAAGAAGCCCCGGCUAACUACGUGCCAGCAGCCGCGGUAAUACGUAGGGGGCAAGCGUUAUCCGGAUUUACUGGGUGUAAAGGGAGCGUAGACGGCAUAGCAAGUCUGAUGUGAAAACCCGGGGCUCAACCGCGGGAUUGCAUUGGAAACUGUUGAGCUUGAGUACUGGAGGGGCAGGCGGAAUUCCUGGUGUAGCGGUGAAAUGCGUAGAUAUCAGGAGGAACACCGGUGGCGAAGGCGGCCUGCUGGACAGUAACUGACGUUGAGGCUCGAAAGCGUGGGGAGCAAACAGGAUUAGAUACCCUGGUA
rnacentral:rRNA from 1 species